UUACUUGCUCUCAAUAAAGAAAUUAACUUGCUGCUAGGUCUUCCUCGUGAAGUAAGAAAAGACAUUACCUUGCUGCCAGAUCGUCUUCUUUGUGGAGUACGAACAAUUGACAUGCAAUGCAACUGUAGUGGACUCGAUAUCUCUGAAUGCGUUCAUCUUGAAUCACUUGCUCUCGGUAAAGACAUUACCUUGCUGCCAGGUCGUCUUCCUUGUGGAGUACGAACAAUUAACAUGCAAUGCAACUGUAGUGGACUCGAUGUCUCUGAAUGCGUUCAUCUUGAAUAUAUUGCUCUCGGUAAAGACAUUACCUUGCUGCCAGGUCGUCUUCCCAGUGGGGUAAGAACCAUUGAUAUGCAAUGCAAAUGUAGUGGGCUCGAUAUCUCUGAAUGUCAUCAUCUUAAAUCAAUUGCUCUGGGUAAAGACAUUACCUUGCUGCCAGGUAGUCUUCUGAAGGUUGAUUGUCUUUACUCGACCACGGACAAAAACUGAUAGAAGGGUAAUAUCAUGCCCAAGAGCAAUUGAAUCAAUACUAUGGUUUCUAGACCUCCGAAUGUCAUCAUCUUAAAUCAAUUGCUCUCGGUAAAGACAUUACCUUGCUGCCAGGUCGUCUUCCUCGUGGAGUAAGAACCAUUAACAUGCAAUGCAAAUGUAGUGGGCUCGAUAUAUCUAGAAACCAUAGUCUUGAUUCAAUUGCUCUUGGGCAUGAUAUUACCCUUCUACCAGUUGUUCUCCGUGGUCGAGUAAAGACAAUCAACCUACAAUGCAAAUGUACUCGACUAAAUUUAUCUCAUAUUCAUACACUUAGAUCAAUUGCUCUCGGUAAAGACAUUACCUUGCGGCCAAUUCGUCUUCUCGUGGAGUAAGAACCAUUGACAUACAUUUAAAAUGUAGUGGACUCGAAAUCUCUGAAUGCCAUAAUCUUGAAUCAAUUGUUUUCGGUAAAUACAUAACCUUGCUGCCAUCGCAUCGGCAUAUGCUAGGAAAGAGGUAUGACCCACUAUUCGACUCGAAGAAUCUGAAUUCCAUCAUCUUGAAUCAAGUGCAGUCGGUAAACACAUUACCUUGAAACCCGCUCAAAUUAUAUAUUCAAUAAUAAAGGAAUAUGUUAACAGAGUAAUGAAAAAGGAUUAUUAAUUUGAUUAUAAAUGCCACGGGCGAUAUGCAUUAAAGAUGUUUGAUAAAAACGCGAUUUAAUUAGAGUUUUCAAAACAAAGUUUUCUAUAAAAAGGUUUUCCAAAGAGAGUAUACACACUGGGGACGAAAGAUGCAUAACAAAAAGUGGUUUGCAUCAAAAUCAUGUGGACUGUUCGCAUCUUCAUUUUGUGUAAACAAAGCCUCAUUAACUGAGUCCUACGUGAAUUUUGAGAAACGUGUUAUUGAAACUAAGACAACCCAUAAUUUUUUUACCUAUUUGCAAUUUGAUCCGGUUUCAACGAAUAUGUACAAUAAUUUGUUCGCUUCUAUCACAUUGUGCUGUAAAUAAACUCUUCAUUAUGUGUAAACAAACAGUCUGGCUUGAUUUUAUUAUGAUGAUUACCUUUUCUCUAAUGUUUAGUAUUCAUGAUGCAUGUCAGAACCAUAUUUAGGACGGCUUGCAUGCCAAACAGAGACAAACAUAAUUGUACUUGUCGCACUAGACAUGUCUGUAAGGUGGCAACUGAAUUUUUGUUGCCAACAGAAAAUGUAUGUGUCUGACUCUGAAGUGAAUUGUGUAUAUUAAUAAGAGACAAUCAUAAAUCUAUGUAACCUAUAGGCUAGAUGAACAAGAAGUAGGGUAUAGGAAGCAGUUACACAGGUAUUUAACGACAUAUUUGGGUGUAACAUUGUAAUAGUUGGUUUAUCAAAACGUCAGUAUCACACUUUUUAAAUAUAUCUGUAACAACCAUUCUGCUUGUCGAAAAACAUACUACAUUGAUUUUUUAUUUGUUUAUCAUGGAUCGCCCUACUGUCUGAUUAAUUGUUUUUGUCACGGUGAUAAAAUAUUAUCAAAUAUAAUUGUCUAUAAAAACCUUGAUUGCACAAUCGAAUACUAUGUCAUCAUGUAGGAAUUUUCUUAGCUUUUUACAAUGUUUUUUUACUCAAACAAUUUCAACACUUGCUUUUCAUGGUUCUGACCUAAAUUGUGUUGUUGUAUUUUAUAUUAUCUUUUUCAAGUGCAUGAAGAUUUUUGUAUAUUAAUAACUCCUCCAACACCUGCUGACCAUAUGAUUCUCUAAAGUAUAAAAACAAAGCCCCAAUUUUGACGCACAAUUAUUAAAACGUCGUCUUUUACUACAAUACUGUCUUCAUAUUACUAUUAUACAUGAUUGUAUUAUUUCUCAUUACUUAUACAAAUGAAAAGUUCCGAGUUUUUGUGUACUAUUCUUCUCCAAAUAGCAAAUGUUUAUUUAGUACAUAAUAAUGUGUAUAUCAAGUGUUUUAUAACCAUAACAAUUGUCUGGUAUGCUAUUGACACCAUAAACUAUGUAAAUUGUGAAGGGGAUGAUCUCGAUCCGUUUCAUACCUACCGGUAUUUACGGGAAAAAAUACAAAACGUUAGAUACACACACGCACGCACACACACACGCACACGCACAAGAACUAGCAUCAGAACUGAUUGCAGAAGAUGGACAUAUCGAGCUAGAAUAACAUGCAAAACGACGACCCCUGUGCUAUUUUAAUCAAUUUUUUGUUAAACAAUAAUUGACCAAAUCAUUGUAAAAAGUGUUCAAAUAAUCUUAUGCAAGUAUUUCAUGUCGAAAAUGUCAAGUGUUGUUAACUUACUGAAAAAUAUACAUAAUGGCCUAUCCACAUUGAUAGUUUGUUUGUAUAAGUAAACAACGAGUGGUUCGCGAGCUUCUUUAAUUUUUAUUAUUUUCUUUAUUGCAAGAAAUAUAUUUGUUAAUAUGAGCAAGCACUUAUAACUUUAUAUUGAUAAUGAUCAUUGUGCAUUUUCUUAUUUUCAAAUGUUUUUGUUUUAUUUUUUCAUUGCAUUAUGCGUUUGUGUCAGAUGUUGCGAUAUAGCAUUUAAAGCCAUCGUAUAACGUUAUUUCAUGUAUGGGCCCAUGUGUGUAAGUCACAUGUACAUAUAGAUUUUAAGGAGAUAACUCGUAUUGCUUCCUUCAUACGAUACGCGCGAUAGAUUAGUUUUUGCUAUCGAAAUUCUUUCAAUGAGAUUCAGUGUGAAAUUAUUGUUUAAUGCGAGAGGGUCCAAAGUAAAUGCUUCUACAUCCAUCAUAAUGAGCAAUCGGAAACAAUGAUCAAAUGUAUUUCACGAAUAUACUUUUUAAGUUGUAUAUAAUGUUUAUUCUUUCCUUCAUUAAUUAAACUUAUUUUAAGUUUAACUUUUGUCUGCACUGGGAUAUACCGUCAUGGUUUAUUUACCGUUUUUAACAGCUAAUUCAAAUGGGUUUUUGUUAAUUUAUUUUCUUUAUAAACUGCUGUUGACACCGCUAUGACAUCUUUAAAAUUUUGAAACUAUACAGCUGCAUCAAAAACAUUUUUAUGGAACACGAUUCUGUACAUUUCGCUUGUUUUGUUUUGGUUUCAUUUGCUGAUGGAAGCCUACGAUAUUGAGUACGUUACUGUCGUUAGUACGUUAACGUUUAUCAUUUUAUCCAUAUUUUCACUAUUGUAAGCCAGAAGCUUUAUUGUAUGCAUUUUUGCGGAAAUUGUUAUUGUUGUUGUAUAUUCAUUCGUAAUUUUGUACUCACCAGUUUGUAUUGUUUGCAUUGUUGCCUUAUCAAUGGUUUUGAUUUUGAAUUGUAAUAACUAUCUUAAAUUUUUAUCUACUAAUCAAAACAGGCAAACUUAAAUGCAAUCAGUUUAAUGUUAUUAAUUUUUAUUGAAGCCAACAUUCCGAAUUGCAAAGAUACUUAACAUUUUACAUUGUUUGCGUUGUACAGAUGAUAGUUACACUUCUCUUUUGGCCUGUUUUGUGAAAUGAAAAAAAUAGUGUUUGUUUUUUAAAUUGUUAACAUAUGCAAAUGCAUUAUGGUUUCAUUAUGUGCAUCGUUUACGCAACGUAAGAUUGUUUGUAAUAACGUUCUUGUUUAACAGUUACGUUUUCUGUUAUGAAUGUUUCUCUAAGAAUCGUUUAUAAUUGUUAAAGGGGCCUUUUCAAGUUUUGUUAAAUUGACAAAAUAAAAAUAAAAUGUUUAAGAUUAGAAA